rnacentral:rRNA from 1 species
CUAUCCUACGGGGGGCAGCAGUCGAGAAUCAUUCACAAUGGGGGGAACCCUGAUCCAGCGACGCCGCGUGAGUGAAGAAGUAUUUCGGUAUGUAAAGCUCUGUCAGCAGGGAAGAAAGCAAUGACGGUACCUGACCAAGAAGCCCCGGCUAACUACGUGCCAGCAGCCGCGGUAAUACGUAGGGGGCAAGCGUUAUCCGGAAUUACUGGGUGUAAAGGGAGCGUAGACGGCUGUGCAAGUCUGGAGUGAAAGGCGGGGGCCCAACCCCCGGACUGCUCUGGAAACUGAAUGGCUGGUGUGCAGGG